UGCAGUCCAGCCAAGUUGUCAUGGUCUUUCUCAUGUAGUAGGAAGCAGCACUGCUGCCUUGAAUACAAGCAUCCUAAAGAUUAAAUUUGAAAAA